rnacentral:rRNA from 1 species
UUAACCUACGGGGCGCAGCGGUAGGGAAUAUUGCUCAAUUUUUUAAACCCUGAAGCAGCAACGCCGCGUGGAGGAUGAAGGUUUUCGGAUUGUAAACUCCUUUUGUUAGAGAAGAUAAUGACGGUAUCUAACGAAUAAGCACCGGCUAACUCCGUGCCAGCAGCCGCGGUAAUACGGAGGGUGCAAGCGUUACUCGGAAUCACUGGGCGUAAAGAGCGCGUAGGCGGGAUAGCAAGUCAGAUGUGAAAUCCUAUGGCUUAACCAUAGAACUGCAUUUGAAACUGUUAUUCUAGAGUAUGGGAGAG